AAACAUCACUUUUUGUGAAAGCCAAACUUUUUAGACAUGACUGAACAUGGGCUUGCAUCUACUCUUACUGAAAUGCCUCUUUUAACUCCACUGAUCAAUGGAGAUCCUAUACAUCAGAUGGAGAGUUAUCUGGAUACCACUGUUGGAACACAGUGUACUACUAAUUAUUCACAAAUGAUGACUCAUCCCAAGAGAUAUACCAGAUGGCCUUCUUGUCCUCAAUACUGGGUACAACAAAUUAUAUUGGUGCACGUUAACCCUGGGGAGAUCCUCACCAUCAAGUCCAAUGAUGGGAGCAUUCAAAAUAUUCAAGGACCUGCUGAUGUACCUUUGAUGUCACCAAGUGGUACUUUGCCGCCAAUAUAUCUUCCUCCUGGUUACAUGUCUCAGGUGGUGGAAGAAAAUGGGAUUCGAAAAAUUAUCAUUGUGCCUCAGACAACCGACUACUACACGACCACGUCUGCUCCUGUACAAGUAUCACACCUCAUAGCACCAACUUUUAUGUAUCCACAAGCCACUCAACUGAUAUAUCCCACAUCUCAAGGGGAAUUUCUGCCACCUUACAUUCAAGAGCCUGUGCCGCAGCAACUGCCACCACCACCACUGUUGCCACCACCACCAUUGCCACCACCACCACCACUGCCACCACCACCAGCAGCAUUUAUAUAUCAUGAGCAGCAUGAAACCUAUUCCCAUGGGAGAGCAAAUUAUAACCAACUUGAUGAAAGGGCUGGUGAAAUGGAAGAACAUAUGAAGAAAGAAAUGCAAGAAAGCCAGAUUGAUGGACACAAAAAUAGCUGUAUGAUUACCAACACCUCACUGCUUUUGAACCAAGCUAAUGAUUUUUCCAAUAUUCCUGGUACUCUGAGCACUUACACUGUGGACUAUGCUCCAAGCACCUGCACUGUUGACAAUACUUCAAGCACCUACACUGUGGACAAUACUUCCAGCACUUACACUAUAGACAAUGUUCCAUGCACUUAUACUACCAAAGACACCUUGAGUACCUGCACUGUGAACAAUGCUCUGAACAUUUACACUGCUGACAAUACUCCCAGUACUGACACUGUUGACCACCCUCCAAGCACUUAUAUUACUGACAAUACUCCCUUGAAUUCUUCCAUUGACCAUGCUUCUAAUAGUUCCACCACAGACACUGAUCUGCACCCUUCCACCAAUGAAAAUAAUGUUCAGAGCCCUUCCAGCACUAAUUAUGCCUCCAAGACUUCCACCUCUGACAGCACUCCCACACCACCACCUAUUGACAGUACUCCAAGCUCUUCCAUUCCUGACAGUGCUCCCAACCCUCCCAUCUCUGAAAGUGCUCCAAGUACUUCUGCCACUGAUGUUGCUCUCAAUACAGCCAAUGCGACCAGCACUUCCAACACUGCUAGUGCUCAUGUUGAAAUUAGUCAUGGAAACAAAUGCAUCAACCCAGGAAGCGAAGACAUCAAGCAGAAACCAGGUGGAAAACAAAGCAAGAGUCUAUCAUCAAAUACUGCAGAAAAAGAAUGCAGAACAGAACAUGGAAAGUCUUGCUGUUUCAGCAUUGAGAAACCUGUAGUUUCCGAUAUUCAGACAAGCUCUGCUGUUAUUUCGUGGAAGACACAUGGUUCUGAGAAAUGCAAUCAUACUAAACCCCCUGUAACAUUUGAAUUAGCAAUAUCUAACAGUGGUAAAAAUGGAAAAUACACAAAUGUAUAUACCGGUGAUGAAUUUACAUUUACUCUACUUGAUCUACAGCCAUUCAUGGUGUAUUUUGUAAGAAUUACAACUGUAAGAGGCUCAGCACACAGAACUGUGUCUAAAGUGGUUAGCUUCACAACUCCAGGUUGCAAACCAGACCCUCCACUUGCACCCAAACUGAUUAACCGAUCCAAGAGCAGCCUGAAUUUACAGUGGAAAGGUUCCAAUGGUAAUGGUUCCAAAAUAAACAGCUUCCUUUUGGAAUGGGAUGAGGGCAAAGGUGAAGACUUCAAAACUUGCUAUAUAGGUACCAUGAAACAGCACAAGAUCCUUAAACUGAAUGCUUCUACAAAAUAUUCAUUCAGAUUAGCUGCAAAAAAUAAGUUCGGCUUGAGUGAUUUCAGUGAAAUAGCAGUCUUCCACACAUCAGGAACUAUGCCUCCAACACCUUCACCCCCUAAGCUGAAAGAAGCAGGAGUCUGCAAUUUGUCACUAGAAUGGUGUGCCCCAACUAACACAAAUCCAAAUGACAGUCUUACUUAUGUACUAGAAAUGGAGGAAGCAGGAUUGGGGUUGGGUUUUAAACCUCAAUACAACGGAGAAGAUCUUUCAUGCACUAUAAGAAACCUUCAGAGAAGUACUACAUACAAGUUCAGGAUCUUUGCGCGCAAUACAGAAGGAAUAAGCAACCCUAGUAGAGAAGUAAAAUAUGCUACCUGUCCAGAUAAGCCUGGAUCCCCUAAAAAACCAUAUAUAAAGGGAAAGAUCCAUGCACACAGAGUAAAAAUUGGAUGGGAACCACCCGAAGAUAAUGGUGGGACAAACAUUUCAAGUUACAGUUUAGAAGUUAGGGAGAAUUUGGAUGUGAAUUUCUGGAACAUAAUCUACAAUGGAACCACAAGGGAAUUUCUGUACAAUCACCUGCAACCUGGUACUACAUAUAAAUUAAGAGUCUUUUGCACUUCACCUAUAGGCCAUAGCCAGCCUUCAGAUAUAUUGACUGUUCAGACACCUAAUCUUUCUCCUGCAUCUUGCCGUCCUCCACCCUUGAAUGGUAAAGUGCAGUCCAAAGAAACCAACAUCCAAUGCAACAAUUCUCCUACAAAAGGAAACUCUGAAGCACUUACAAAUGUCAAAAAGGCAAAUGGUAACCAAGAUGAUGCACAAGGGCACUCUGGCUCAGAAGUGAGAGACACAUCUGGAUCUCAUUCGGUGACAUGUGAAACUGCUCCAGUCCCAAGCCCUCCUACUCAAUGUGGUAUACCUGUGCUAACCUGCAAGAGUCCAACCUGUGUUGUUGUUAGUUGGGAAAUUCCUGUAUGUAAUGUUGCAGAAAUCACUGAUUACAGACUAGAGUGGGGACAAACUGAAGAUUCAAUGCACUUGAUUUACACUGGCCCUUGUUUGAGCUAUGAAGUUAAAGGUCUCAUUCCUGCCACUAUGUAUUUUUGCAGAGUUCAGGCUGUAAAUAUAGUUGGAGUUGGAAUGUUUGGAGAAACUGGCAUAGUAACCACACCAGCAACUGUACCAGCAGCAGUAACAGUGUUACAAGAAUUUGAAAACAAAGUUCCUGCCAACUUGGCAUCAUCUUGCAUUGCUAUUCAAUGGGAGGAACCAGAUUGCCAUGGUUCUGCAAUCACCGGCUAUAACAUUGAAUAUGGACACAGAAAAAUUGUGACUGUUAGUAGAGUAACAGAAUGUCUUCUGAAAAAUCUACAGCCUGAUACCACAUACAGAAUCAGAAUUCAAGCUAUCAAUCAUUAUGGACUAAGCCCUUUUAGCCAAUCAAUAAGAACCAAAACCAAGCCACUGCCACCUGAGCCUCCACGACUUGACUGUGUGGUCUAUGGGCACCAGAGCCUCAAACUGAAAUGGGAUAACUCUUCAAGCAAAAGAUUACUUUCUAACCUUACAAGCUAUAAUUUAUUAAUGGGAGAUCGAUCUGACAGAUUUUCUAUUAUUUAUCAUGGACCUUGUCAAAGUCACAAAGUACAAAGAUUGAGGGAACAUACGCAAUAUAAAUUUAAAAUCCAAGCAUGUAAUGAAGCUGGUGAGGGGCCACUGUCUGGUAUCUAUACUUUCACUACAAGCAAAACCCCACCAGCCACACUUAAAGCACCUAAAUUGCACCAGUUGAAUAACAAUACUUGUGAGGUCAAAUGGGAAUCUUUGAAGCCAAUAAAUGGAGAUUCCAUAGUUUACAGUCUUCAGCUCAUCAGUGGAAGAGGAACUGACCUGAUUUACAAAGGACCAAACACAUCGUUCUCCUUUUCCAACUUUCUCACAAAUUCACAUUACCACUUCAAAGUCUGCGCUGGACGUCAAUAUCAGAAUUCUGCUGGGAUACAAGAGCUCUGGGGACAAUGCAGCCCAACUGCUCUUUUCUCAACCUAUAAGCAACAGCCAGGGCCUGGCAAAGAUGUUAGAGGAAGGCAGGGAAGCAGCCCUAGUGAAGCGAAACAUGAAAAGCCCAAGAUAGAGAUGAGUGAUGAUACCUUUGUCCUGAUCCUUGUGAUAGGAUUUGCACUAAUUGCCAUUCAAUGUGCUACUAUGAUUCAGUACCUCCUUAUCAACUAA
rnacentral:lncRNA from 1 species